rfam:Patagioenas fasciata monilis isolate BTP2013 Sc31e1R_44.1, whole genome shotgun sequence.
AAAAAGGAUUUUUUAAAAUCUACGUACAUAUAGAAAACAUAGGUAU